GCUACAGUGGAACUGCAUGUUGUCUCAAACUCAUCGAGGAAGUCAGCAUCAAUUUUCAACACUUAAACCUAUUAAAUUGUGAUCUUACCAUAACAUGAAUGAUUCAAUUAAUAGAUAUUGCUAGUCUAUCAUUUUGAAUCAACCAUGUCUGGAACUCCCCGCGAAACGACGAUGUGCGGAUCCGCUGAUCGUUGAUCUUCUCCACUACCUCCGUUGUUUCUUGGACUUCAUUGCCUGCCAUAGACAUCAAACAACGAGGUGUUGGAGGACAUCAAAGAUCAAUUGCAGGAUCCAACUGCUUUGCUGAGGAUAAGAAUGCAUAUUCACCACUGCUUCGAGCGAGUCGGUAAUACAAAACCCACUAACAAUAUCUUUGCUUCAAUCAAAUGAAAUGAUUCUUUUAUUCUCUGGUUAAUUGCAGGAUCCAAUUCUUGCGGAUGCAUUUUCACGACUGCUUCCUGCGAAUCAUAUGGAGGCAUAAUGUAAUCGUUUGAAUAAAUAAUUUGUUUGUGUUUUGUGUGAUUUUUCCUACAUGUUAAUGGUUUCUUUCUGUUGUUUAGGGUUGCGAUGGAUCAGUGUUGAUCAACUCUACAGCGAACAAUACUGCGGAGAAAGCAGCCAUAAAAUUUUUUUGGUCGAUUUGAUGUUAUUGAGGAUGUGAAGGCAGAGACAGAGGUAGAUAAGAAUUGUUUCUUGUGCGAAUAGUACUGCAACAAGAGAUGCCUUCGCUAAGCACGACGCACUAGAGGAAAGAAGAAAAGAAUUGGGGGUUCGGGUGCCCUGCUUCUUGGGCCAGAAUGCAGUCGGCUGUAGAGAAUUGUGCGAGUAUUGGGCUGCGCAGCACGACGCACUAGAGGAAAGAAGAAAAGAUUUGGGGGCUUUGCAGCACGACGCACUAGAGGAAAGAAGAAACGACUUUCCCACGAUGCUUCCCAUGAGUGCAGCAAAGAAAGAAGAAAAGAAUUGGGCCAGAAUGCAGUCGGCUGUAGAGUAUUGUGCGUUGGGUAUUCACAGAGAACAAAUUAUUCAGGCACUCAAUUUUUUCCAUUCAAAAUCUAAGAAAGACUAUGAAAUUAGAAUUUAACGAAUGCCAGUCUGUUUUUCACUUCAAAAUCUUGAAUGUAGCGGGCCUUUCAUUAAUCGAAUAUACUAAAUAUGAACAA